AUUGAACGCUGGCGGCAGGCCUAACACAUGCAAGUCGAACGGUAACAGGAAGCAGCUUGCUGCUUCGCUGACGAGUGGCGGACGGGUGAGUAAUGUCUGGGAAACUGCCUGAUGGAGGGGGAUAACUACUGGAAACGGUAGCUAAUACCGCAUAACGUCGCAAGACCAAAGAGGGGGACCUUAGGGCCUCUUGCCAUCGGAUGUGCCCAGAUGGGAUUAGCUAGUAGGUGGGGUAACGGCUCACCUAGGCGACGAUCCCUAGCUGGUCUGAGAGGAUGACCAGCCACACUGGAACUGAGACACGGUCCAGACUCCUACGGGAGGCAGCAGUGGGGAAUAUUGCACAAUGGGCGCAAGCCUGAUGCAGCCAUGCCGCGUGUAUGAAGAAGGCCUUCGGGUUGUAAAGUACUUUCAGCGGGGAGGAAGGGAGUAAAGUUAAUACCUUUGCUCAUUGACGUUACCCGCAGAAGAAGCACCGGCUAACUCCGUGCCAGCAGCCGCGGUAAUACGGAGGGUGCAAGCGUUAAUCGGAAUUACUGGGCGUAAAGCGCACGCAGGCGGUUUGUUAAGUCAGAUGUGAAAUCCCCGGGCUCAACCUGGGAACUGCAUCUGAUACUGGCAAGCUUGAGUCUCGUAGAGGGGGGUAGAAUUCCAGGUGUAGCGGUGAAAUGCGUAGAGAUCUGGAGGAAUACCGGUGGCGAAGGCGGCCCCCUGGACGAAGACUGACGCUAAGGUGCGAAAGCGUGGGGAGCAACAGGAUUAUAUACCCUGGUAGUCCAAGGGCGAAUUCCACAGUGGAUAUCAAGCCUAUCGAUACCGCCACCUCUUGGGGGGACUCGGUACCCAUUUUUGUUUCCUUAGUGAGGGCUAAAUAAA
rnacentral:rRNA from 1 species